rnacentral:rRNA from 1 species
CGGACGGGUGAGUAAUGCCUAGGAAUCUGCCUGGUAGUGGGGGACAACGUUUCGAAAGGAACGCUAAUACCGCAUACGUCCUACGGGAGAAAGCAGGGGACCUUCGGGCCUUGCGCUAUCAGAUGAGCCUAGGUCGGAUUAGCUAGUUGGUGAGGUAAUGGCUCACCAAGGCGACGAUCCGUAACUGGUCUGAGAGGAUGAUCAGUCACACUGGAACUGAGACACGGUCCAGACUCCUACGGGAGGCAGCAGGC